rnacentral:lncRNA from 1 species
AUGACGGCUUUUAUAGUUGUUCUUGCUGUUCUUAUCUCUUUAGGUGAGGGAGCUGGUGGAUGGUGUCCUGUGGCAGAGGGAGGAGCAGGAGGGGGAUCCAGUCAAGACACAGUCUCCAGAAGUAGCCUGAGCCAAGGAGCUGCUUGCGUGGCUGAGGACCCUGAGGAUGAACCAGACGUUGAUGGAUCGCUGUCAUCAGUCAAGGCUGCCGGAGGCUUGUUUUCACGAGUUCUCUCAAAUGCUGCAGGAGCUUAGGAACAGGUGACCUGAACUUGAGACUUCCUGACCUGGUCUCUGAAUGAAAUAAGAGGAGGUGACAGGCUCUGUACCAGCAACUUUGUGUCCCUGAGGGUGGGGAUCCUGUGAGGCCGGGGAAGCACAAUUGUCCUGUCCCUGGGCACGAGGCCAGCUGCAGCGAGACAGGUUCACAGGUGGAGGGGUGAUCACGGAAGGGCGUGCCCGGGCUUUGGAAAACUGGAGAAAGUUGGUCCUUGGAUGGGGUGUGGAAAGAAC